rnacentral:misc_RNA from 1 species
AAACGCAUAUUACGCCCGCUAGUAUUCUGGCGGGUAUGCCUGUUCGAGCGUUAUUUCAACUAUCAAGCUCUUGCUUACGUUGGGGUCCUGCGGCUGCCCGCAGACCCUUAAAACCAGUGGCGGGCUUACUAUUAUAUCUGAGCAUAGUAAUACAUCUCGCUCCAGUCGUACGGCGUACUAUUUUGCCGUUAAAUACCCUUCCUUUUAGCAAGGUUGACCUCGGAUCAGGUAGGAAUAUCCGCUGAACUUAA